UACGUAGGUGACAAGCGUUGUCCGGAUUUACUGGGCGUAAAGAGCGCGCAGGCGGUCGAUCAAGUCGAGUGUGAAAGCCCCCGGCUCAACUGGGGAGGGUCAUUCGAUACUGAUCGACUCGAAGGCAGGAGAGGGUAGUGGAAUUCCCGGUGUAGUGGUGAAAUGCGUAGAUAUCAGGAGGAACACCGGUGGCGAAGGCGGGAUCCUGGGCCAGUACUGACGCUGAGGAGCGAAAGCGUGGGGAGCAAACAGG
rnacentral:rRNA from 1 species